CAUGUGAAAGCCCAAAGUUGAAGUGAUAGAUCAGGCUCAUCCUAGGAGGAAACUGUAUUUUUUUUCUAGUGACAAUAAAACUCGCAGCCCACAGUAGUUCAACGUGAUUUGCAACUUUUGCCCAGCAUCGACGGUUGCAGGAUUGACCCCAAAUUGAUUAUUCUCACACAAACUGUAUCCUUCUGCAGAACAAGAGCCGGCGGUGGUGUUUGAUGUGUACAAUGUUAGAAGUCAAGAAAUCAACUAAAUUUGCAGAGCAGUUGUGAGACUUGUCCCUGCUAGAUAUCCGGAUUGGUCUCUCUCCCUCUCCCUGCUUUUUUAUCUCUUUCUGGUGUGGAAAGAUGUCUUUAGAGGUUCGAAGCUUUCACCAUAUUAUUGCGUCGACUGUAUUUGUGUUAGGACUGAUUGUAGGGAAAAAGCUCCGAGCGGCAUGGCAUAACGGUGGUGAUGAUGAUGAUGAUGAUGAUGAUGGUCUUCAUUUUCUCCGUGCGUGUGCGUGCGUCUCGCGGUCGUCCCUCGAAACCCGAUACUCGUCGAAACUCUCGGGGAACGACAUUCGGUACCGCCAUCAGCGUCCCAGGGCUGAGUCAUAAAUGACUCUCGGUAGUGUUUGCUAGAAUAUCUAACAGAACCGGGUGUAUGCAAUUCUGCAGCUUGAAGGUCGCCGAUUUAUGGACGUAAUUUGGUGAUUUUUUAUACCGGUGUUGGAGGGUUUAUUUUUGUUUACAUCAUUCGCCGAAAAAGUAUUUAAAAUCCGACCAUUGAUAAUGAGCACUGGAGGGAAACGUAAAAGAAACUAGAAGCGUUGCUUGUUUAAGAUACAAAUUCUCCUAUCUUUUUUGGUUUGUACGAUAAAGUGGCGUAUUCAACGAUGGGUCAAUACUGAAGUGUCAAUAUUUUCGUCGCGUUGUUCUCGAUAUUUUAGCCAGAAUUGAGUCACCUUCAUGUUGACCAGAAAGCUAUUAAUUUCAGUGGUCUGUCAUAUUUUUGGUAUAAUAUAACAUUAGUGAAAUCACUAUGACCAAUCAUAUCAUUCGAGUUAGUUACAGCAUUCACUCUCAUUUCAAUAAUCUUUGUUGCAUCACGAUUCGCUGGAAUAAACCUUGUUCCAAUUAGCGUAACGCUAAUUAACGAUUGGUAGUUUGCGCUGUCGCUACAAACUAACAAACUGUUGAAAACUUACAAGUUUCUAGUCCAUGUGGAUAGGUAUGAUAUUGAUUUUGUAAUAUUAUUACAAAAUGAAAUGAUUUUUGUGGCAAUCCUCCAUAACUUAUAUAUCUGAUAGUCACAUCUGCAGCAAAAUUCCGCUUUUAAAUUGGAAACAGAUAAUAAAACAGGAUCUUUCUCGAUCCCGAAGUGGCUCUACUAUAGUGAUUUGCGUUUUGAGUUAAUUGACAACCUGCUAAUCAUCCUUCUAUGAUUGUUUUGUCACGCUUUUUAGUAUUUCACAAUAUCACGAAGUUGAAGAACAAACUCGGUCACUUGUGCUAAGUGAAAUCCGCUGAAAGCUCUCGGAACAAGCACAAUGAAGAUAUAUGUUUUUUAAUAAAUGUUAGUUGGCUUAGAACAAUAAAUCAAAAUAUCCGAAAACUGUGAUUAAAUUCACCUUUAAAUUCAAUCCCAAAACGGUCACUGGUUUCAUCAACCAUGGCUUCCAACCACCUAGUUCAAUUCCAUCAGUGAGUUCGAGCAUCUUGUAAUUUGUGUACAGCAAUCGGGACCGGUCAAAAAAGAUAAACAUUACUGUCGCAGUGGCACUGCUGCCCAAUGUCCUUUAAAGGUUAUGUGCUUAACACUUACAGUACUGAUCCUUCCAGAGCCGAAAAAUUAAUGUUCUUUUUCCUGCCAUUCCACAAGAUGUCAACCGAUUUUGAUCCAACUCAUUUUAAAAGAUACGAAUUAAUCAAAGUUUCUGGGACUGUAGGGGACAUUUCGAAAGUUUUCGUUGUUCCGGAAUUAUUCAGAGGAACCGUGGGGUAAGUAACCUUCCAGUGACGCAAGCUAGAUCGAAAACGGUACCGAAACUUGGUUUGCGACAUAUCAGACUUUAAGUUUUUGCGAAAUAAUACUUUUGGUAUUUGGCCACAUGGACGUAAAAUGGCUACUCCUGGUCGUGUUUCGGCAAUCGGAUGCCUUGGUGAAUCUGUUUACCGUACUUACACUGGUUCUGGAACCUGGCUUUCGUCAUAUCACACUGUAUGUUUUGGCGAAUGGCAGGAG